ACCAGUGGCCAUGCAAUUGCUGAAGUAGCCAAGCUCCUGUGCAUUGUAAAUGUCAGCCUUGUUCCAACACCUCUGCUAAGAUAUGGAGUUACCAGUAAGGAGCUCCACCGUGACUCUCCUCCCUGCUCCGUUGCCCCGACGAGGAAGUGUGAAAACGUUUCUGGCUCCAUCCAAGAGUUACUUCCCUGAAGAAGAGAGGGCUUUGUUGAAGUCUUCCCAUGCUUUCUGCACAGGGCUCUGGCCUUGGAGAAGGGAUUUCCAGUUACCGCAGUGUCACUUGGCCCUGGGUCUCCUCCCGGGAGAGAGAAGUGUACGGCUCCCAAGGUUCCUGGCAGUUUUGAAAGAGCUCUCAGCCACAGCCAGCUUUACUUUGGCAAGUGAGGCCAUCCCCUUUCUUUCCUCCUUUCCUUUCCCAUGGAACCUACUCCUUCCAUCUGUCUUUCAAGCUCUGCCUCAGAAAUGGCAAUUCAAGGCUGAUUUUCUCCUUGAAUGCACUCUCUCUGUGAAAGAGGCUUUUCACCAAGAAUGUGGUGCUGGUGUUUCUCUUGCCAAUGGGCUAAACAAAGGCCUCCGCACCGGGUAACAUUUGGGCAGGCCUCUUCACACAUGCCUGUCCUUCUCCGUCGCACUUGGCUAAAGCCAACAACCUAUGUGUGAAAAGUAUAAAGAGAUGGAAAAAUUCCCAUGAAAAAUCCUUCCGCAAAGCAAUUGCGAGACAACUA
rnacentral:lncRNA from 1 species